GUUCUCUCGUCUAGUCCUUUCAAACUCUCUUCACUCCACACUCACGCACACACACAGACUCUGUGACUCUGCCUCUCUCUCUAUAUCUACACUUCUCCUCCAACGGAUCUUUUUCCUUUUAUCUGCCUCUGCACUCUGCCUCUGUGCUUCACUGCUCAUCACCCUCUUUGCUUCUUCUGCUCCACAAAAGCCUCCUCUUUGUCAUAUUUCUCACACCAGAUAACUCCUAGCCUUUGGUUUCCUCAUUGGGUAACUUUCUUUUUCAUUGUUGAUUUUGGUCUUCUUUCCUGGGUUUUUGUUUUCUAGGGUUUUGGAAUGAAAUGUUUAUGUUUUAGCAGAAACUGUUUGAUGAAAUACUUGUUCUCAAUUGGGUUUGGUUUUUUCUUGAAUAUUUAAAGAUUUAUUUAUUCUAAAAUAUUCUCUAACUCUUGGCUUUUUCUCCUUUCUUCUUUUAGGCCACAGAAGCUUUUCUUUGUUUGUACUUUUUUUGGGUUUAGGGUUUUAACUACUCUACCAAUUUUUCACAAUUCUCACAUCAAAAAGUGUUUUUUCAGCUUUUCUUGGAAUUGGGUCUGAAAAUUGCCUGCUAAUUCUAACGCAAUCUUCAACUUGAAUUCAAUUCAGAAAUGGGAUUUCUCCUCCAAAUUCUGGGUUUUCUUUGAAUUCUCCAAAUUGGGAAAAAAAAUUUUCCCAUUUUCUUUCCUUCCAAUCACUAUGUCUUCUCCUUGUUUAAGUGGAGGCAGUAGAACCUAUGGGUUUGAUUUGGAAAUAGUGAAAUCACCAUCAACUUCAACUAGAACUUGCCACACAUCUUCUCCAUCUUCUACUCUCUCUGAAUCUAGCAAUUCUCCGCUAGCAAUUUCCACAAGAAAACCAAGAACUCCCAGAAAACGUCCCAAUCAAACCUACAAUGAAGCAGCUGCUCUUCUGUCCACUGCCUACCCAAACAUCUUCUCCACUAAGCAACUCACCAAUAAUCCUCGCAAAUUCACCAAACCUCAUCAGGACACUCUUCUUCUUGACGAGUCUUCCUCAGAAUUACUAUGGCCUUUUAGAGUUUUCAAUUACUCUGAUCUUCUUCUCCAUCAACCCAUCGAGAAUGAGAAACCCAGUUUUGUAAAUGAGUCAAAAGUCUCAAAUUUCAUUACUUCUUGUGAAAAUAAGUCUUGCCAGAGUGUGAAUUCAAUGGAAUUCUGUGAUGGGUACGAGGAAGAUUUCGAUGCUGAAUCGAUUCUCGAUGAGGAAAUCGAGGAGGGAAUCGAUAGUAUAAUGGGAAAUCUCAGAGUAAGCAAUGAAAACUCCGAGGAGUGGUCUAAUAAAGUUGGGAAUCCAUUAGGAUUUCAUUUCGGCGGCAGAUUUCAGCUCGGAGUUGGAAAUGGAAUGAGAAAAGGAGUAAAAGCAUUGCGAAAUGGCGAUGACGGAAAUUGGUGGAAUUUUCCAAUCGUCGAUAUGCUUCAAAUCUCGCCGAGACUUAACCGCAAUAACAUCAAAACUUCAGAUUCGAAGCCGAAGGUGAAGACGAAUUCGAAUUCCGGCGACAAAAAGAAGAAAAAGGUGGAGAAACCGGCUGUGGAAUUGAAGAAUUCGGAAUUGACUAAGGAGGAGAAUAAUUCAAUUCCGCAACCGAUUUCUGGUUUGUUAUUGAAAUUAAACUACGACGGCGUUUUGGACGCUUGGUCAGACCGGGGAUGUCCGUUUUCCGACGAUAUUUCGGGAUCCGAAGGAAACGACGUCUCUAUUGGCGCAGAUAGAUUUAUUUUCAGAAAAUGGAGGAUUGAGAGAAGCUAGCGUACUACGCUACAAAGAAAAGCGGCGUACACGUCUCUUCUCUAAGAAGAUCAGAUACCAAGUUAGAAAAGUCAAUGCUGAUCAACGGCCAAGAAUGAAGGGGAGAUUUGUGAGAAGGCCAAAUUCCAGUGGAAGUAGCCAAAGAAGAGAAGAAGAAGAAGAAUAAUUAAUUAAUUAUGUUUGAAGUAGGAGAAAAUUAAAAAGGCUACUUUUAUCUAUUUUAUUUUGUUGUUUAAUUAAUUUUGUAUCCUCUCACACACAAGGAAAAAAAAAAGACUAGUUUAGAAGAGAAGGAUAGAGAAAUUGAAUAGGCCAACAAGUUUUUGCAUUGGUUAA